UAUGGUAAGUGCCAGCAGCCGCGGUAAUACGUAGGGGGCAAGCGUUAUCCGGAUUUACUGGGUGUAAAGGGAGCGUAGACGGAUGGACAAGUCUGAUGUGAAAGGCUGGGGCUCAACCCCGGGACUGCAUUGGAAACUGCCCGUCUUGAGUGCCGGAGAGGUAAGCGGAAUUCCUAGUGUAGCGGUGAAAUGCGUAGAUAUUAGGAGGAACACCAGUGGCGAAGGCGGCUUACUGGACGGUAACUGACGUUGAGGCUCGAAAGCGUGGGGAGCAAACAGG
rnacentral:rRNA from 1 species